GGCUCAGUUGGUAGAGUGCUUGCCUUUCAUGCAAAAGGCCUGGGUUCAAACCCCAG
rnacentral:tRNA from 1 species